GACGGCAGCACGCCGCGUGAGUGAUGAAGGCUUUCGGGUCGUAAAACUCUGUUGUCAGGGAAGAAGGGUGCUAGUUGAAUACGCUGGCACCUUGCCGUACCCUAACAAGAAGCCCACGGCAAAUUCCUGGCCACCGCCCCCGGUAUA
rnacentral:rRNA from 1 species